rnacentral:lncRNA from 1 species
GCCUGAAAGAUAUUCACAAGAGAACACCUUGGAUAACAGUGGCAUGUAUGAGAAUGGAUGGGAGAAAUAGACUAUCAAUAUAUAAAAGGACUUAAGUUUCUGAAAGAAGUUUUCAAAAAUCACAAUAAUCUUUAGGUAAUACUAAGAAAAUCAUGAACACCAAAGAUUUUGUGGUUCUUCCACGGGGAAAACCUGGAAAUUCUGUAAAGCUAAAAUAUAAAAAUGCUCAAGAACUGAGAAUGGAGAAAGUACAACUAGAGCUGGAGAACCGAGAGCUGGAAAAGAAACUACAAGAGUUCCAAUCAACAAAGAACAAAGAAAAGGGAGAACGAAGGUCAAGUGGAUAUCAUUGGAAAUCUGGACAAGUGGGCAAAUUGGGUAAUCAAUCAUACACAAUGUCACAAAAUAAAGGAAAUGUUAUUAAGUUUUCUGCUGGAAAAGUGAAAUUAAAAUUACUGAAGGAGCAACUUCAAGGACCGGUGAAACAACCACUAAAUUAUAAAAUGGCAAAUUCCUCUGAAAGUGACAAACCCAAGAUAAAAGGGAAGGUUUGUGGGCAGUGUGAGAACAAAGCUGCUCUGCUAGUAUGCCUUGAAUGUGGAGAAGAUUAUUGCUCAGGAUGCUUUGCUAAAAUCCACCAGAAGGGGGCACUAAAACUCCAUAGAACAACUCUUUUGCAGACAAAAUCACAAUUAUUAUCCAAUGUAUUGGAUGCUGCCCAUCGGUUUAUAAAGGAAGUUAAUCCAGAUGAACCCAAAGGAGAGAAUUGUUCUACAAAAGAGACUGGUAAAAGCCAGCAGAAAAUUGAGUCUCCUAUUCUGCAGGGGAGCAGCUCUCAGGUAGAAGAUCUAACAACAAAAAAAGAAGGAUGUGCAAAUCCAAGAGACAAGCCCUUGUGUGAAGUGCCUUUCAAUGAAGAAGCUUCUGCCCAGUCCUUUCAGAAAGUUUUAAGUCAGUGGAGAACUGGACAUCAGGAUGACAAUGAGACACAGAAUUUAUGUGCAGCAAAAUCAGAUUCAUUGGAAGAAUGUGAAGUACAAACUAAUCUGAAAAUUUGGACAGAACCACUUACUAUUGAAUUUAAAGAAGAUAGUCUAUCCUACAUGGAAAAAUUAUGGCUUAAAAAACAUAGAAGAACUCCACUGGAGCAACUUCAAAACAUGCUACCGGACACCUUCAUACCUCAGUGUAAAACCACUAGUGAGGCACAAUGUUCUCAGAACGAAAAUGAUGAAGAUAGUGAUGUUGAGGAUAUCAAGAUACAACCCCCAGCUCUUUUUCUGCCAAUAGAAGAAUUAAACUUAGAGAGACCUGAACCAUCUCUAAAAAUAGUUGAACUGGAUGAUACGUAUGAAGUAGAAUUUGAAGAAUCAGGAAAUGCCGUGCCUUAUAAAGUUGAGUUAGCAGAUGCAGACAGUCAACAAAGUCACACAUUUCGUGAUUAUCAGAAUGCUUUUCUGUAUGCAAAUGAUAUCCAUCAACAUCAUGCAUUUACCAAGAGAAAAUCUGACCUCUUCCACCUUCAUCUGAGUAACAACUCUUUUCUUUGUAAAGAUAACUCAGAAGCAGAAACGUCACAUGCAGGUUUUGAUACCUUUGUGGAUCCUGAUGCAUACUCUCCUGCUAUUGAAAAAUUAGAGGCAAACAAUUUUUUUGAGAGAAAUUUGAAAGAGGAAAGCAUAGAUAUAGAAAGUAAUAAAAAGCAUGAAGAUUCCCAUAUACCUCUUGAGAACAAGGAUUCUUUGCCAAGUAAAGAUUUAGAAAAACCCUGCAUUAAGGAGAAAUUAUCUCAAGAGGACAAGAAAUCCUUGGAAUUCAGCAACCUGCAUGAGAGGCCAAACUUUGAAGAUUCUAAAACUACAGAGUCACCACUGUUGUUACAAGAAAUAGCCCUCAGGAGUAAGCCCAUAAAUGAACAAUAUCAAGGACUUGAAAGAUUCUUUGUUUUUGAUAAAAAUGAAAGACUCAACUUACUUCCUUCUCAUAGUUUAGAAUGCAGCUCCUCCAAUACUAGGAUUACAAUUGCAGGCCAGAUAUCACAGAGACCUUCAACAGCAAAUUUACCACUUUCCAACUUUGUGAAAAUAAGUUCCAGCUGGUUUUCUUCUUCUCAUCCCCGGUCAAGAAGUGCAGUCGCUCAAUCACUCUCUAAAGCUGCUUCUGAAAUUUCAGAAAUUGAAUAUGUUGAUGAUACUGACCAUGAUGAGCCUUUCUUAGAUGACGCUGAUGAUCAGCAGACCUUAGACAGUUUGGAAAAAGAAUUAAAUGAGCUGAGAAAUCUUGCAGAUCCUUCAGAAAAACUUUACAGCCUAACCUCAGAAGAGUUACCAGCCUUCAACAACCAUUUGCUGAAUAUAAGUCAGACUACCCUAGAUUUCCUUAAGACCUCAUGUGCGAGGGGUCUCUGUGGAUUUCAGGAACAGAGCUCUUCUGAAAAGGAUACUGGAAUCCAGUCUUUGCUGACAGUUUCUGAAAGCAGUACGGAUGAGGAGGAGGAAGAUUUUUUUGACAAGCAACAUGUCAUUACACUUCCAUGGUCAAAGAGUACCUAG